CAUCCCCAUGAAGAAUGAUGUUUAUAUGUAAAAGUAGUGGGCUGAUCUCCAUUGAUGACGAACAAAUUCUGAGGGAUG